GUACGGCUGACUUAUCUAAUCUGCGGCCUGUUAUGCAUCAAACUAAUAUUGCUGUUGAGACAAAAUGCAAUGCCAUCAAGUUAGCAUUUUUAAACAUUCGCUCACUAAAAAAUAAAUCAUUUCUAAUCAAUGACUUAACCACAAACAACCUGGAUUUUAUGUUUCUAAAUGAAACAUGGCUAGAAGACAGCUGCAGUGCAACGGUCCUCAAUGAAACAGCCCCUCCUAACUUCACUUUCAUGAGUGUUUGCAGGACUGUUAGGAGAGGUGGAGGUGUAGCUGCUCUAUUUAAAGAUGUCUAUCAAUGCAAGCAAGUGUCAUUUGGUCAGUACUUGUCUUUUGAAUAUCUAGGGAUUGUGUUGAAAGGUGCUCCACGCAUUCUGUUUAUCAUUAUUUACAGGCCUCCAAAAUACUCUCCAGCCUUUGUUGAAGAGUUCACAGAAAUGCUAUCAAUGAUUUCCUCAGAGUUUGACUGUUUUGCUAUUGCAGGGGAUUUUAAUAUUCACAUAGAUAAUGCAGAAAACAAAACUACAAAAGAAAUUAUAACUGUUCUAAAUACUUUUGACCUGAUUCAGCAUGUGCAUGAACCCACACACAAUCGGGGACAUACUCUAGAUUUACUCAUCAGUAGAGGUCUAAACAUUUCAUCCAUUGUUAUUAAGGACGUAGCACUAUCUGAUCACUUCUGUAUUUUCUUUGAUAUAUUGAUCUCUGUUACCACUGAAUCUAGAUCGGUCUCAGUCAGAAAGAGAUGCAUUAACGAAAACACUAGUGUGCUAUUUAUGGAGGCUAUAUCUUUAACACCAAGCAUUUCUGCAGACUCUGUUGAACUUCUCCUUGAUUCCUUUAACUCAAAAGUUAAGAAUGUUAUUGAUGACAUUGCUCCUUUGAAAGUCAGCAGGAAGACUGGCAGACAGAAAUCAGCUUGGAGAAAAUCAACAGCAGUUCAGAGUAUGAAAAGACAAUGCAGAAAAGCUGAGCGGAUGUGGCGGAAGACGAAACUUGAAAUACACUAUAGCAUAUAUAAAGACAGCCUUCGUACUUUCAAUGUGGAACUAGGCAAAGCUAGACAGUCAUUCUUCUCAAACCUUAUAAACAGUAACUUAAACAACACUCGCACUCUUUUUGCUACUGUUGAGAGACUGACAAACCCCCCAAAUCAGAUUGCCAGUGAAAUGCUCUCCGACAGCAAAUGCAAUGAGUUUGCUUCCUUCUUUUCUGAGAAGAUCAAUAAUAUCAGGAAGGCGAUUAGCACAUCCCCAAGUUAUGCAGAGGUUAGACAUAUUCGACCACAAUAUCAAAAAGAAGAUACUAUGUCUGCUUUUGAAGAAAUUGAUAGCAAAAUUUUGGAAGAAAUAGUACAGCACCUUAAAUCGUCAACAUGCUAUCUUGACACACUUCCCACA
rnacentral:lncRNA from 1 species